rnacentral:ncRNA from 10 species
AUCGUUGGACUAAAAGUCGGAAGUAAGCAAUCGCUGAAGCAACGCACU